rnacentral:rRNA from 1 species
GAAUUUAAUAUAAAUUUUAAUUUAGAUAUUUAUAAAAAUUAUAAAUAAAAAUUAAAAAUUUAUAUUUAGUUGGGAGGAUUAUUAAAUUAAAUUAACUUUAAUAUAUAAAAACAUUAAUUUAUGGAUAUUUAUUUAUAAGUUUAAUGAUUAAAAUUUAUUAAUUAUAUAUUAUAUAUACGUUAAAUUUUAUGAAAGAAUCAAUUACCUUAGGGAUAACAGCGUAAUAUUUUUAAAAAGAUCAUAUUAAUAAAAAUG